rnacentral:ncRNA from 1 species
CAACGUCUUCGGGGCGGGGUGCAAUUCCCCACCGGCGGUAUGGCGCGAUACGCGCCGAGCCCGCGAGCGCCUUCGCCGCACGGCGAAGGGUCAGCAGAUCUGGUGAAACGCCAGAGCCGACGGUUAUAGUCCGGAUGAAAGAAGACGACG